rnacentral:rRNA from 1 species
GACGAACGCUGGCGGCGUGCUUAACACAUGCAAGUCGAACGGAAAGGCCCUGCUUUUGUGGGGUGCUCGAGUGGCGAACGGGUGAGUAACACGUGAGUAACCUGCCCUUGACUUUGGGAUAACUUCAGGAAACUGGGGCUAAUACCGGAUAGGAGCUCCUGCUGCAUGGUGGGGGUUGGAAAGUUUCGGCGGUUGGGGAUGGACUCGCGGCUUAUCAGCUUGUUGGUGGGGUAGUGGCUUACCAAGGCUUUGACGGGUAGCCGGCCUGAGAGGGGGACCGGCCACAUUGGGACUGAGAUACGGCCCAGACUCCUACGGGAGGCAGCAGUGGGGAAUAUUGAACAAUGGGCGGAAGCCUGAUGCAGCAACGCCGCGUGCGGGAUGACGGCCUUCGGGUUGUAAACCGCUUUCGCCUGUGACGAAGCGUGAGUGACGGUAAUGGGUAAAGAAGCACCGGCUAACUACGUG